GGGCGUGCUGUGCGACGUCGGGGAACGUGCUGUCGGUCUCUGAUCCUCAUCCUCCCAUCCCUGGGCGGGGUGGGGGGUCCUGGCCCCGACCCCCCUAAUCAAGUUGGAGGAUCUUGGUUCCGCUCUCGUUGGGUUUUUCUCGUCUCUUGGGGUUCUUGGGACAAUCCCUUGCCCAAUGUCCCUUUUCCCAGCAGUAAGCACAUUGGUCUCUCCCUAUAUGGCCGCCUCGUCUGCCACCCCUAUACCUCUUUUUCUCUUGCCCUACUACGGUGGCCAGGAUUCUACUUAGCUCUUUGGUUCGUUCCCUUUUAUUUCGUUCUUCCUUUUCCUCUUGGGUUUCUCUUUUAUUAUAGAUCCUGUCUGCCUCCCUUACCAAAUCUCUGAGGCCUUGUCCCUGCAGGUUCUCCAACCUCUGCAGUUUGCUCCGAAUAUCGGGGGCAGACUGCCAAAUAAAGGACAUAGACACACUCACUUCUUGUUCUGGACUGUCUGGAUCAAACGGAGUGUAUCUCCUAUAGGCCUCCUUGA